rnacentral:misc_RNA from 1 species
AAAUAAAAAAAUAAAAAAAAGAAAUCCUGGACCAAAUGAACUACUGAUAAUAUAUAUAUCUUUGAACUAAUAAUUUUUACGGCUAUACAUAACAUUUCAUUCUACCCGUGUUGUAAUUGCAUUAAUUAACAUUUUCACCCUUCUUAAAGAACAAAUAAAAAAUUCCAAUAGAAAAUAACUUUUUUAGGCUGCACCAUAAAUUUGAUCUAAAUUAAAGUAAAUACAGGUAAAAUAAGAGCAAGAAAAACUUUUUUUUUAAUCGAAGCACCAACCAUCUUGUAAAGAUUGUUUUUCAUGGACUUGCAAUAGAUAGCAAAUAGAUUAUGCUUCUUUUCAGGAAUCACAUCAUGAUUUUCUUCAACAAAAUAUGAAAUAAAUUUUCCCCUUUCGCACAAGUAUAAAACAAACAGCAUGAUACUAGACUUAAUUUUUUGGAUAUUCCUAUUAUCUAUCAGGAUUUGGAUAAUAUGUAUCCGAAUUAAGCUCAAAAAGAUAAAGGUCUACCUUUUAGGCUGUAUGAAACCAGUUCAAGCAUAGAAAUCUCAAUUACAAGGCG